rnacentral:rRNA from 1 species
AGUCGAGCGAGGAAGCCCCUUCGGGGGUGGAAUAGCGGCGGACGGGUGAGUAACACGUGGGUAACCUGCCUCAAAGAGGGGGAUAGCCUCCCGAAAGGGAGAUUAAUACCGCAUAGAAGGUAAAAAUCGCAUGAUAAAUGCCUUAAAGGAGCAAUCCGCUUUGAGAUGGGCCCGCGUCGCAUUAGCUAGUUGGAGGGAUAAAAGCCCCCCAAGGCGACGAUGCGUAGCCGACCUGAGAGGGUGAACGGCCACAUUGGAACUGAGAUACGGUCCAGACUCCUACGGGAGGCAGCAGUGGGGAAUAUUGCACAAUGGGGGAAACCCUGAUGCAGCAACGCCGCGUGAGUGAAGAAGGUUUUCGGAUCGUAAAGCUCUGUCAUCCGGGACGAUAAUGACGGUACCGGAAGAGGAAGCCACGGCUAACUACGUGCCAGCAGCCGCGGUAAUACGUAGGUGGCGAGCGUUGUCCGGAAUUACUGGGCGUAAAGGGUGUGCAGGCGGAUAUUUAAGUGAGAUGUGAAAGACCCGGGCUUAACCCGGGCAGUGCAUUUCAAACUGGAUAUCUAGAGUGCAGGAGAGGAGAACGGAAUUCCUAGUGUAGCGGUGAAAUGCGUAGAGAUUAGGAAGAACACCAGUGGCGAAGGCGGUUCUCUGGACUGUAACUGACGCUGAGGCACGAAAGCGUGGGUAGCAAACAGGAUUAGAUACCCUGGUAGUCCACGCCGUAAACGAUGAGUACUAGGUGUAGGGGGUAUCGACCCCCCCUGUGCCGCAGUAAACACAAUAAGUACUCCGCCUGGGAAGUACGAUCGCAAGAUUAAAACUCAAAGGAAUUGACGGGGACCCGCACAAGCAGCGGAGCAUGUGGUUUAAUUCGAAGCAACGCGAAGAACCUUACCUGGACUUGACAUCCCCUGAAUGACUCGUAAU